rnacentral:rRNA from 1 species
CUGGCUCAGGAUGAACGCUAGCGGCAGGCUUAACACAUGCAAGUCGAGGGGCAGCGCGAGUAGCAAUACUUGGCGGCGACCGGCGCAAGGGUGCGUAACGCGUGAGCAACAUGCCCGUAUCAGGGGGAUAAUCCAGGGAAACUUGGUCUAAUACCCCAUAGUAAUUUUGUAAGGCAUCUUAUAAGAUUUAAAGCUUUGGUGGAUACGGAUUGGCUCGCGUGACAUUAGCUGGAUGGUAAGGUAACGGCUUACCAUGGCUAUGAUGUCUAGGGGUUCUGAGAGGAAGGUCCCCCCACACUGGAACUGAGACACGGUCCAGACUCCUACGGGAGGCAGCAGUGAGGAAUAUUGGACAAUGGAUGGAAAUCUGAUCCAGCCAUGCCGCGUGAAGGAAGAAAGGUCCUAUGGAUUGUAAACUUCUUUUGUAUGGGAGCAAUAAGGCCUACGAGUAGGUUGAUGAGAGUACCAUACGAAUAAGCACCGGCUAACUCCGUGCCAGCAGCAGC